GGUGUAUUAGCUGAAUUAUCUUUUUGUUUUGAUAGUCUUUAGUCAAUAACGGAUUUUUAAAUUGUUAUGAGUUUACAACACUUAAGUUCAGCGAAAUUCAAUUAAAAAGUCAUGUCAUAGUCAAGUCAUAGAAGACAGAAAAAUAACAACAUCUGUUUUCAAUAACUUGGUUUUCAUAGCAAAUCUGACAGACUGUUUACUCUUGUCCCAAUCUAACCUAGUGAGUUCAAAAAGAAAGAACUGUGCUGGAAACAUGAACGGGUUGAAAGGAUCAGCCUUUUAAUAGCCGAAGUCGUAACCAACAUAUAAAAGAUGUAUAAAAUGCUUCCUUAUUUAUAUUGAGUAAAAAGAGUUUUUUUUCUGGCCAUCUGAAAGAGCUCUUUGACAUACUUGAAGAGCUAUUAUCGUUUUCAUUUGAUAAAAACAGUAUUUCAUAUAUGAAAAGUAUGAACACUAUAGUGUAUAGGAUACGAUAGUAUACUAAUAAGUAUGACAAAAAAGUCGUUCCGACCCCGAGCAAAAAAACCUUUUCAAAAAUGCAUAAUUUGCAGGGAACGGCAUGGUAAAAAAAAAUAUCAUUUGGUGUGUGUAUUUAAUAUAUAUUGAUAUUAUUAUAUACUGAGUUUCAUAGUUUUUACUUGAUGCUUUGUAAGCAUUUCUAUGUUUUUUUUUGUCG